UACGUAGGGGGCAAGCGUUGUCCGGAAUCAUUGGGCGUAAAGAGCGUGUAGGCGGCCCGAUAAGUCCGCUGUGAAAAGUCCAGGGCUCAACCCUGGAAUGCCGGUGGAUACUGACGGGCUCGAAUCCGGAAGAGGUGAGUGGAAUUCCUGGUGUAGCGGUGAAAUGCGCAGAUAUCAGGAGGAACACCAAUGGCGAAGGCAGCUCACUGGGGACGGUAUUGACGCUGAGACGCGAAAAGCGUGGGGGAGCAAA
rnacentral:rRNA from 1 species